rnacentral:rRNA from 1 species
AUUGAACGCUGGCGGCAUGCUUUACACAUGCAAGUCGAACGGCAGCACAGGGAGCUUGCUCCUGGGUGGCGAGUGGCGAACGGGUGAGUAAUGUAUCGGAACGUGCCUGGUAGUGGGGGAUAACUACUCGAAAGAGUGGCUAAUACCGCAUGAGAUCUUUGGAUGAAAGCGGGGGACCUUCGGGCCUCGUGCUACUGGAGCGGCCGAUCUCAGAUUAGGUUGUUGGUGGGGUAAAGGCCUACCAAGCCUGCGAUCUGUAGCUGGUCUGAGAGGACGACCAGCCACACUGGGACUGAGACACGGCCCAGACUCCUACGGGAGGCAGCAGUGGGGAAUUUUGGACAAUGGGCGCAAGCCUGAUCCAGCAAUGCCGCGUGCAGGACGAAGGCCUUCGGGUUGUAAACUGCUUUUGUACAGAACGAAAAGUCUCUGGCUAAUAUCUAGAGAUCAUGACGGUACUGUAAGAAUAAGCACCGGCUAACUACGUG